rnacentral:rRNA from 1 species
AAUGAACGUUGGCGGCGUGGAUUAGGCAUGCAAGUCGUACGGGCCGCAAGGCCAGUGGCGCAAGGGUGAGUAAGGCGACGGUAACCAACCCCGGGAUUGGGUAUAGCCGCGGGAAACCGCGGGUAAUCCCCAGCGACGCAAGAUGUCGGCAUCGAUGUCUUGCCAAAGCCCCGGCGUCCUGGGACGGGCUGUCGUGGUAUUAGCUAGUUGGCGGGGUAACGGCCCACCAAGGCUGCGAUGCCUACCGGGCGUGCGAGCGUGGCCCGGCACACUGGGACUGAGACACUGCCCAGACUCCUACGGGAGGCUGCAGUCGAGAAUCUUCGGCAAUGGGCGCAAGCCUGACCGAGCGACGCCGCGUGGAGGAUGAAGGCCUUCGGGUUGUAAACUCCUGUCGAGGGGGAAGAAGGGCCGCGAGGCCUUGACUGAUCCCUGGAGGAAGCACGGGCUAAGUUCGUGCCAGCCGCCGCAGUAAAAC